rnacentral:rRNA from 1 species
UACGGGGGGUGCGAGCGUUGUCCGGAAUCAUUGGGCGUAAAGCGCGUGUAGGCGGCUCGGUAAGUCUGCUGUGAAAGUCCAGGGCUCAACCCUGGGAUGCCGGUGGAUACUGUCGAGCUCGAGUCCGGAAGAGGCGAGUGGAAUUCCUGGUGUAGCGGUGAAAUGCGCAGAUAUCAGGAGGAACACCGAUGGCGAAGGCAGCUCGCUGGGACGUGACUGACGCUGAGACGCGAAGGCGUGGGGAGCAAACAGG